rnacentral:rRNA from 1 species
AUAUCAAUAAGCGGAGGAAAAGAAACUAACAAGGAUUCCCCUAGUAACUGCGAGUGAAGCGGGAAAAGCUCAAAUUUAAAAUCUGGCAGUCUUUGGCUGUCCGAGUUGUAAUCUGGAGAAGUGUUUUCCGCGCUGGACCGUGUACAAGUCUCUUGGAAUAGAGCGUCAUAGAGGGUGAGAAUCCCGUCUUUGACACGGACUACCAGUGCUUUGUGAUGCGCUUUCAAAGAGUCGAGUUGUUUGGGAAUGCAGCUCAAAAUGGGUGGUAAAUUCCAUCUAAAGCUAAAUAUUGGCGAGAGACCGAUAGCGAACAAGUACCGUGAGGGAAAGAUGAAAAGCACUUUGGAAAGAGAGUUAAACAGUACGUGAAAUUGCUGAAAGGGAAACGCUUGAAGUCAGUCGCGUUGUUCAGAACUCAGCCUGGCUUUGGCUUGGUGCAUUUUCUGAAUAACGGGCCAGCAUCAAUUUUGACUGUUGGAUAAAGGCUAGGGAAAUGUGGCUCCUUUGGGAGUGUUAUAGUCCUUGGUUGCAUACAAUGGUUGGGAUUGAGGAACUCAGCAUGCCUUUAUGGUCGGGGUUCGCCCACGUUCAUGCUUAGGAUGCUGGCGUAAUGGCUUUAAACGACCCGUCUUGAAACACGGACCAAGGAGUCUAACAUGCCUGCGAGUGUUUGGGUGGAAAACCCGAGCGCGCAAUGAAAGUGAAAGUUGGGAUCUCUGUCGUGGAGAGCACCAAUGCCCGGACCAGACCUUCUGUGACGGUUCCGCGGUAGAGCAUGUAUGUUGGGACCCGAAAGAUGGUGAACUAUGCCUGAAUAGGGUGAAGCCAGAGGAAACUCUGGUGGAGGCUCGUAGCGAUUCUGACGUGCAAAUCGAUCGUCAAAUUUGGGUAUAGGGGCGAAAGACUAAUCGAACCAUCUAGUAGCUGGU